rnacentral:tRNA from 1 species
GCGCUCAUGGUGAAAUGGAUAUCACGGAGGUCUACGGAACCUCAAUUUGGGGUUCGAGUCCCUAUGGGCGCGCCA